CCGAGUGCGGGUCCUUUGGGCCCAACCUCCCACCCGUGUCUAUUGUACCCUGUUGCUUCGGCGGGCCCGCCGCUUGUCGGCCGCCGGGGGGGCAUCUCUGCCCCUCGGGCCCGCGCCCGCCGGAGACACCAACACGAACACUGUCUGAAAUCGUGAAGUCUGAGUCGAUUGUUUUCAAUCAGUUA
rnacentral:misc_RNA from 1 species